GAGGACGAGGGCUUGAUUGUGAGUAUAUUUAUGGGAUAGGGCUGCAUGCUGCAACAUGUUGCAAUGAUUUUCGCCAUGAUUGGCUUAAUAUAGCACUUGGGCUGAAGGAGCCCCUCCGGAGUCUGUACCACCCCUUGUGAGUGCGGGUACCAAUUAAGUGUGAUUGCCGAGUGCCAAGUGUUGAGCGAUUGUGAGGAAUGAGUGUCUGUGAGGAAUGAGUGAUUGUGAGGUUGGACUGAUUGAGG
rnacentral:lncRNA from 1 species